AGAGCGAGUGGAGGGAGCCAGUUUUUAAUUACCCUGCUAUAGGGGGUGUGUUAGUAUGCACACCACAUAACACACAUCCUCUCACUAGUCAAACAUCCAGACAGCUUUUUUCUUUUUUACUAUUUUCACUUUUUUAUUUUUUACUAUUUUCACUGUUGUUUUUUCCCCGCUUUGGAUUGACCGGGGCUGUUGAGGCAGACUGCUGAUUCGUUUUUCUUUGUUUGAAUUACAUGUUUGAGGUGACUACCUCCAUGAAGAUGGUUGAGAGAAUGCCAAGGGUGUGCAACGCUGUCAUCAAGGAGCCCCAGGACUGUCCCAACCCCAGACUCUGCAGUGAGCUCCGCAUUGGGCUUUUCAGCUCAGCCUGCCCCCUAUCCAUGGGCCACGGUCAUAAGCAAGGGGAGGAGGAAAUGAUUGGUUGUGAUCAAUAAUGCAUCGACUACAUUAAAGCCCAUAAAUAAGAAAUGGCUGGUAAGAACCCGGAAUGUCCUCUUUAAGAUAGC
rnacentral:lncRNA from 1 species